rnacentral:rRNA from 1 species
GACGAACGCUGGCGGCGUGCCUAAUACAUGCAAGUCGAACGCAGUGGGGACGGGUGAGUAACCCGUGGGUAACCUCCCAUCAGAGGGGAUAACACUUGGAAACAGGUGCUAAACCGAUACUGAUGGAUGGACCCGCGGUGCAUUAGCUAGUUGGUGGGGUAACGGCUCACCAAGUCCACGAUGCAUAGCCGAGCUGAGAGGGGGAUCGGCCACACUGGGACUGAGACACGGCCCAGACUCCUACGGGAGGCAGCAGUAGGGAAUCUUGGACAAUGGGCGAAAGUCUGACCGAGCAACGCCGCGUGAGUGAAGAAGGUUUUCGGAUCGUAAAACACUGUUGGUAGAGAAGCGGUAUCUAACCAGAAAGCAACGGCUAACUACGUGCCAGCAGCCGCGGUAAUUC